rnacentral:rRNA from 1 species
UGGAUUUGUGCCUUCGGGAACUGUGAGACAGGUGCUGCAUGGCUGUCGUCAGCUCGUGUUGUGAAAUGUUGGGUUAAGUCCCGCAACGAGCGCAACCCUUAUCCUUUGUUGCCAGCGGUUAGGCCGGGAACUCAAAGGAGACUGCCAGUGAUAAACUGGAGGAAGGUGGGGAUGACGUCAAGUCAUCAUGGCCCUUACGACCAGGGCUACACACGUGCUACAAUGGCGCAUACAAAGAGAAGCGACCUCGCGAGAGCAAGCGGACCUCAUAAAGUGCGUCGUAGUCCGGAUUGGAGUCUGCAACUCGACUCCAUGAAGUCGGAAUCGCUAGUAAUCGUGGAUCAGAAUGCCACGGUGAAUACGUUCCCGGGCCUUGUACACACCGCCCGUCACACCAUGGGAGUGGGUUGCAAAAGAAGUAGGUAGCUUAACCUUCGGGAGGGCGCUUACCACUUUGUGAUUCAUGACUGGGGUGAAGUCGUAACAAGGUAACCGUAGGGGAACCUGCGGUUGGA